rnacentral:lncRNA from 1 species
GUUGGAUGGUGUUUCAGAAGGAACAAGAGAGUGCUCUGUUUAAGUAGGUAAAAAUACACCAUUCUCUGUUUGGAGCUGGCUCUGAGGUUGCCUCAGUCUCCAUGGUUCCAAGUUAACAAACAAGAAUCCUGAGUUUUAUUAGCCUUGAAAUGCUAGUGUUGAAGGAUGAAAACCCUGCCCUAAUUCCAGAGUAAAUUACAUCUGCUUGCCCAGUUUUCUUGGGAUAGUUACAUUUCUCAAUAUUUCAGAGUGAAAGAAAGUGCAAGAAGGCCUGAGAAUUCAACCCAUUGUGACCUGCUGCACCAGGAAUACUUUUCAGCUGUUGUACCUCCCUGAUUUCCCCAGAUAGUAAAUAAAAAUCCCUGAGUUUCCC